rnacentral:misc_RNA from 1 species
GGAAGGAUCAUUAACACUAUUUUAAUCCUUCUUAAUGCCUUUGUUGAACCUGUGAUUCGUCUGUCUUUUUUUCUAAAAACAUUUUUUAUUAUAUUAAAUCUUUUCUUUCACUUGUGAAAGGAAAUCUUUUAAACAAAAAACAACUGCUAGCAUUGGAUGUCUUGGUUCUCGCAACGAUGAAGAACGCAGCGAAAUGCGAUAAGUAAUGUGAAUCGUAGAAUUCAGUGAAUCAUCAAAUCUUUGAACGCAUAUGGCGCUUUUGGGUACUCCCAGGAGCAUACCUGUUUGAGAAUCAUCCCUUUAUCUCAUUCCUAAUUCAUUUUAGGAACGGUCAUUGAGCGUUUUCAUUUAGUUCUAUUUCUAAAUGUCGCUCCAAGUGCAUCUAACAGUUUUAGAUGUGAUUACGUCUUUUUUUUCAAUGGCUUGCUAAGGUUGAGCUUCUCAGCCAUCUUGCUAUUCUUAAGGAUUGACAAUUAGUCCUCUAAAGCUUUGUUAUACUUGUUAAAUCAUUCAAACCAUGAUCUCAAAUCAGGCAAGACUACCCGCUGAAUUUAAGCAUAUCAUUAAGCGGAGGAAAAGAAACUAACAAGGAUUCCCCUAGUAACGGCGAGUGAAGCGGGAAAAGCUCAAUCUUAAAAUCGAAGGGUUACGCUCUUCGAGUUGUAGAGUAUAGAGGCGUCUUCGGGGGAGUGCGCAGGUAUAAGUCCCUUGGAAAAGGGCGUCAUAGAGGGUGACAACCCCGUUCAUGACUUGCGCAUUUCUUCCAUAUGAGGCGCUUUCGAAGAGUCGAGUUGUUUGGGAAUGCAGCUCUAAACGGGUGGUAAAUUUCAUCUAAAGCUAAAUAUUGGCGAGAGACCGAUAGCGAACAAGUACCGUGAGGGAAAGAUGAAAAGAACUUUGGAAAGAGAGUUAAAAGGGCCUGAAAUUGUUAGCAGGGAAGCGAUUAAAACUGGGCAUACGCCUUGGGAUUCGGUUUGGUUUCUGGAGGUGCCAGUGUGUUCUCGACCGCAAGGCCUGGGCAUGCUGUCGUUCUUCAGUGCCUUUCUUAUUUUCUCAGGGUGUGCGUCAGCAUCAGUUAGGUUUUCCGGAAAUGGCCUUUGGGAAGGUAGGCGGGCCUUCACGGGUUCGCUGUUAUAGCCUGAGGGCAGCCCGGUUAGCUUGACUGAGGAAAUGCAGUGCGCGCCAUGCUUGAGGUCUAUUCUAUGGGUUGUGGUAACUCUUAGGACAGCAUCGCUGUGCUUUGGUUGCCUUGGCCUACCUGGGUGGCACCUUUCAUACGCGUGCUCCAGAUGCUGACAUAACGGUUUUAACCGACCCGUCUUGAAACACGGACCAAGGAGUCUAACAUAUAUGCGAGUAUUUGGGUUUCAAACCCAAGUGCGGAAUGAAAGUAAAAGGUGCGAGCCUGUGGGCGUACCACUGGUGCAGCAUCGACCGGUCUGGAGGUUUUCUGAAAGAUCUGAGUAAGAGCAUAUCUGUUGGGACCCGAAAGAUGGUGAACUAUGCCUGAACAGGAUGAAGCCAGAGGAAACUCUGGUGGAGGUCCGUAGCGGUUCUGACGUGCAAAUCGAUCGUCAAAUUUGGGUAUAGGGGCGAAAGACUAAUCGAACCAUCUAGUAGCUGGUUCCCUC